UGGGGUUCCAUGCAUGCUCUCUUUUUCAAUUCUUUUGUUUAUCGUUACACUUCAUUUUCACCUUUUCUCUUGCUUUUUGACUAAGAACACUUCUUAAAAGAAAUGGCAGAAAACACAAGUCCAGCUAUCACUAUGACUUGUGAGGUUUGUUCAGAGUAUUACACUGACCCCCUCAUGCUUCCCUGUCUUCACUCAUUCUGUAAGAAGUGUCUCAUAAAAGCUAAAGAGAAGCAAGGUAGUGCUGAUACCUCAUUAAAGUGUCCAACAUGUGACACUAGUGUUAACUUACCUGAUGGUAAAAUUGAAGGCCUCACUCAAAACCUUUGGUUUGAACAUAAAUCAAAAGAGGCUUCGAUAAAAAAGAAGAUCACCAACAAGGAAGCAGUAUUGUGUGAUGAGUGUAGUGUUGAUGAUUCCAGUGAUGCAGCUGUCGUGUAUUGCUGUGAUUGUCAUGUCCAGCAAUGAGUGGUAGGGGUGGGCGAUAUAUCAAAAUUAACGAUAUUUUAUCGAUAUAAUGCGGUAUCGAUACGUAUUGAUAUCGAAAAAAAUUGAAAAGAAAUAUCGAUACCGUGACCACGCCCACAAAAUGAUUGUAUAACCUUAAUAAUAGUUAAUUAACCACAGUCGAUAAGUAAUGAAGUAUCUCCAAACCGCUCCAAACACUUCUUUUUUGCAAAACAGAGGAAGUAACAGAUGAAGACUAAGUCAAAACAGGUUAAAUGA